rnacentral:rRNA from 1 species
CGUAUGGUGCAAGCGUUAUCCGGAUUUACUGGGUGUAAAGGGAGCGUAGGUGGCAAGGCAAGCCAGAAGUGAAAACCCGGGGCUCAACCGCGGGAUUGCUUUUGGAACUGUCAUGCUAGAGUGCAGGAGGGGUGAGCGGAAUUCCUAGUGUAGCGGUGAAAUGCGUAGAUAUUAGGAGGAACACCGGAGGCGAAGGCGGCUCACUGGACUGUAACUGACACUGAGGCUCGAAAGCGUGGGGAGCAAACAGGAUU